UGAGGCCAGUAUAAGAAAAUUAAAUGCCAGUUUAUUCAGUUCCCAGCCAAGGUUCUAUGGUCCAGGGAAGGGACCAGAGAACUCGCGCUGACUUCCUGGGGCAUGGGGUUUUGAGGGCUAUGAGUAACGCACAAUAGCUGGGUGCCCUGAUUGGCUCCAGGGGAGCGGGAUUGGAACAGGCAGGCCGCUAUUUGUUGUCGGGUUGUUGGGCAGGUUUUUCUAAUGCAAAAGCCGGCCAGGGUUGCAUCAGCCAGGGCUUUCCAGGGGAACUGUGUACAGAGCGAGGUGCUGAGUGCAGAGCCAGGUGCCGGGAGCAGAGACCAGUGCCAAGUGCAGAGAGAUGUUAAAUUGCAGUGAAAUCAUCAAAAAGAAGACACUUGAAAAGAGAAGUAAAUAUGAAAUAAGAGACACUGAUUAUAAAAUUGCCCAAAAAGCUAUUCAGCUGGAAAUUGUUCUUAUAAGUUAAUUAUUAUGCAUGAAAUUGUUAUGAAAUCUGAAACAAUUUGAGUCCAGCACUGAAAAGUAAUAAAAUUAAAAUGUAUUCCUCA
rnacentral:lncRNA from 13 species